UCACGAUCUCUAGCCCUUAACUUAGGUCCAUUUUUAAGAAUUCCCUGUAUAUAGAAUAUUUGACUCAUUAGGUUAAGGUGGUGGAUAAAAUUUAGGAAUAUUUAAGAUUUUUAGGGUUUAAGAGAUUUUUUUAUUGUUCAUUCUUUUUUUGUGAAAAAUUUUUACGAAGUUCCGCCGGAAUCCGGCGAGUUCACCGCUCAAAACCUGUUUCUUUUUUUCAAGCAACAAUUGGGAACCAGCUAGACCCAUCAUUAUCUUCCUUCCUCUCCUCCCUUUUCCGACCAGCCAUUCAACUACCAAAUCACUGUCAGAACCUACCUCAACACCAUUGCAACUCCAGAAGCGAACAUCAACCAGAACCCACCCAGAGACCAAAAGACCGAAAAACUCCAUUUCCAUUUUUCCCGUUUCUAGUCAGCAACUCACGCAACAUGUCCCUUCGCCUCUCCCCCUUAACGAUUUUCUUCCUUUUGCAGGUGCUCCGGCUAUCCAAAGCUAUGCCUCGUUGUUGUUCCGUUCUCUCUCCGGCGUGGUUUUAUUUCUAGUGAAGUAGUAACUGGCAUCUCUAGAUCCGAAAAACUUUUGUCCAUGUACGGCCUGGUUUUUGAGAUGUGCUUCAUUCUUGAUCAAAAGAUUGGAUUGGCUAUCCUCCACGCUUUCGGUGAUUCCUCAUGAUUCGAGGACAAGAGUUGUUUCAUUUCUGUAAUUCUAUUUUGAUUUUAGGAAAAGUCUUCGAUUGUAAGAAGUUUUAAUUCUCCAUCAUUUCUAAUACUUAUGUUUAUGAUAUGCUAAGAGCUUGUAUGAGACCCCUUCAGGGUCAAGUACAUUGUGUUACAUAUAGGGGUUACCCCUGGGUCGUGACAAACUUUGUAAUGAGAGCACAAGGUUUAGGAUGA